GACGCCGCGUGGCCGAUGAAGCUCUUAGGAGUGUAAAGGCCUGUCGCAGGGGAGGAAUCUUCCUUUACCGAACAGGUAAUGGAACUGACAGUACCUUGCAAGAAAGCUCCGGCUAACUCCGUGCCAGCAACUUCGGUGACUGAGCGGGCUGGCAAGGCGCAUA
rnacentral:rRNA from 1 species